rnacentral:rRNA from 1 species
UACGUAGGGAGCAAGCGUUGUCCGGAAUCAUUGGGCGUAAAGCGUGCGUAGGCGGCCCCAUAAGUCUGCUGUGAAAGUCAAAGGCUCAACCUUUGAAAGCCGGUGGAUACUGUGGGACUAGAGUACGGAAGAGGCGAGUGGAAUUCCUGGUGUAGCGGUGGAAUGCGCAGAUAUCAGGAGGAGCACCAAUAGCGAAGGCAGCUCGCUGGGACGUUACUGACACUGAGGCACGAAAGCGUGGGGAGCGAACAGG